UCUAACUCAGGAGCGGAACUGGUC
rnacentral:siRNA from 1 species